UUUUUUCGAAAUCCAUAUUGGAGAGGAGAGAGAAUUUCGAAUUGAUUCACGAAAUCAAUAAUGCAAUCGAUUAUAUGCAUGACUUUUUCAAAAAUUUUCAAUUGAUAGCGAGAUUGGUCUUAAUUUGUAAAAUUUUCAGGAUUAUCGGUCUUAAAUACAGGAAUUACCUUAGCUAUUUUUAGUAAAUCAGGGUGAAUGCCAAUUGAAAGCGAAAGAUUGAUAAUUUGGGUAAGAGGUUGAGCUAUAAAUUCAAAUGAUUUUUUUAUUACAUUCAUGGCUAUAUUAUAAGAACCAGCUGUUUUAUACAUUUAUAAAAUAGGAAUCUAUUUAAGAACCUGAGUUUAGCUUAAUUUCCUGGUAAGCACCAUGGGCCGGUUGUACGAAAGGCGUUUAAGUCGCUAUCCACCGUUUAACUCGCUAUCCGCCGGAUAAAAUUAGCGUUAUCCACCGGUUAAAUUUUGCCUAUCCACCGUGUAAACUUAAAACUUAAGGAGGCUCCCUACAGUUCCAUGCGGGAUGUUUGCGGGACAAGUACGUGAACUAUCCCACGCAACUGCAUGAUCAAAACAAAACAAAAAUUGACAAUGGAAAAAAGCGUUGAAUAAUACUUCGUUUUGAGUGCGAAAUCACUUGCGAGUCUAUACAGCAAUUCUACAUAUGAUACGAGUAUCAGUAGACCAAAAAAUAGCUACGAAACAAUAUUUUUAAAUUUUUUUAUACACUGUCCG